UACGAAGGGGGCUAGCGUUGCUCGGAAUCACUGGGCGUAAAGCGCACGUAGGCGGCUUGUUAAGUCAGGGGUGAAAUCCUGGAGCUCAACUCCAGAACUGCCUUUGAUACUGGCGAGCUUGAGUUCGGGAGAGGUGAGUGGAACUGCGAGUGUAGAGGUGAAAUUCGUAGAUAUUCGGAAGAACACCAGUGGCGAAGGCGGCUCACUGGCCCGGUUCUGACGCUGAGGUGCGAAAGCGUGGGGAGCAAACAGG
rnacentral:rRNA from 1 species